ensembl:snRNA U6 U6 spliceosomal RNA
GUGCUCGCUUCAGCAGCACAUAUACUAAAAUUGGAACGAUACAGAGAAGAUUAGCAUGGCCCCUGCACAAGGAUAAUUUUUAAUUUUAAGUUUUGAACAAAGAAUAG